rnacentral:rRNA from 1 species
UACGAAGGGGGCUAGCGUUGCUCGGAAUCACUGGGCGUAAAGCGCACGUGGGCGGAUUGCUAAGUCAGGGGUGAAAUCCUGGAGCUCAACUCCAGAACUGCCUUUGAUACUGGCGACCUUGAGUCCGGGAGAGGUGAGUGGAACUGCGAGUGUAGAGGUGAAAUUCGUAGAUAUUCGCAAGAACACCAGUGGCGAAGGCGGCUCACUGGCCCGGUACUGACGCUGAGGUGCGAAAGCGUGGGGAGCAAACAGG